UACGGGGGGAGCAAGCGUUGUUCGGAUUUACUGGGCGUAAAGGGCGCGCAGGCGGCUACGCACGUCCGUUGUGAAAUCGCCCGGCUCAACUGGGCGGGGUCAGCGGAUACGGCGUAGCUGGAGCAAGCUAGGGGGCAAUGGAAUUCCCGGUGUAGUGGUGGAAUGCGUAGAUAUCUGGAGGAACACCGGUGGCGAAGGCGGCGUUCUGGACUGCAACUGACACUGAUGAACGAAAGCCAGGGGAGCAAACGGG
rnacentral:rRNA from 1 species